UUUCUUUUUGAGAGUUUGAUCCUGGCUCAGGAUGAACGCUGGCGGCGUGCUUUAGGCAUGCAAGUCGAUCGAUGCUCGGAGCUGCAUUGUGCCCAUAAGAUAUCGGUGUAAAUCCGUAAUUAAUCAGUGUUAUCGAAACACUUUGAUUACACAGAUAGUAGCGGAUGCUCACGGAUAGUUUUAUGGAUAGAAUGUAGUUUCGAGCGUAGAGGCGGAAGGGUGAGUAACGCGUGGGAACGUACCCAUUGGUGGAGCAUAGCUCGCCGAAAGGCGGGGUAAUUCUCCGUAAGCCCGCAAGGGGAUAGAGUUUAACCACUCGCCGAUGGAGCGGCCCGCGUCCUAUCAGCUUGUUGGUGGGGUAAUGGCCUACCAAGGCGAUGACGGGUAGCUGGACUGAGAGGUCGGUCAGCCACAAGGGAACUGAGACACGGUCCCUACAUCUACGGAUGGCAGCAACUAGGAAUCUUGGACAAUGGGCGAAAGCCUGAUCCAGCGACGCCGCGUGGGGGAAGAAGGCCUUCGGGUUGUAAACUCCUUUUGUGGGCCGUAAUGGCCCAAGAAUAAGCACCUGCAAACUACGUGCCAGCAGCAGCGGUGAUACGUAGGGUGCGAGCGUUAUCCGGAUUUACUGGGCGUAAAGGGUUGCGUAGGCGGUUCGUUGCGUCAAAACUCAAAUACUCACGCUCAACGUGGGGGCGGGUUUUGAUACGGACGAGCUUUGAGGCUCACAGAGGUAGCCGGAACUUAUAGUGGAGCGGUGAAAUGCGUUGAGAUUAUAAGGAACACCGAUGGCGUAGGCAGGCUACUGGGUGAAAUCUGACGCUGAUGCACGAAAGCUAGGGGAGCGAAAGGGAUUAGAGACCCCUGUAGUCCUAGCCGUAAACGAUGGACACUAGAUGAGCGCUUUUUUAGGUGCUUGUCGCAAGCUAACGCGUUAAGUGUCCCGCCUGGGGAGUACGGCCGCAAGGCUAAAACUCAAAGGAAUUGACGGGGACCCGCACAAGCGGUGGAGCAUGUGGUUCAAUUCGAAACAAAGCGAAAAACCUUACCAGGGCUUGACAUGCUAGCUGCACGUUCUGCGAAAGCAGAAUUUCUUCGAGAGUGCUAGCACAGGUGCUGCAUGGCUGUCGUCAGCUUGUACCGUGAGGCGCACCCUUAAGUGGGUCAACAAGCGCAACCCCCAUCCUGUGUUAAAUUUCACAGGAAACUGCCCGCUAAAUGCGUGGAGGAAGGAGGGGAUGACGUCAAGUCAUCACGGCCCUUAUGCUCUGGGCUACACACAUCCUACAAUGGGUGCUACAACGAGUUGCAACUCGGCAACGGGAAGCAAAUCUUUAAAAGCAUCCUCAGUUCGGAUUGAGGGCUGAAACCUGCCCUCAUGAAGCUGAAAUCGCUAGUAAUCGCGGAUCAGCAGGCCGCGGUGAAUACGUUCUCGGGUCUUGUACACACCGCCCGUCAAGCCAACAAAGUCGGGGGUGCCUGAAGU
rnacentral:rRNA from 1 species